rnacentral:rRNA from 1 species
GUGCCAGCAGCCGCGGUAAUACGGAGGGGGCUAGCGUUGUUCGGAAUUACUGGGCGUAAAGCGUACGUAGGCGGCUUUGUAAGUUAGAGGUGAAAGCCCGGGGCUCAACUCCGGAAUUGCCUUUAAGACUGCAUCGCUUGAAUCAUGGAGAGGUUAGUGGAAUUCCGAGUGUAGAGGUGAAAUUCGUAGAUAUUCGGAAGAACACCAGUGGCGAAGGCGACUAACUGGACAUGUAUUGACGCUGAGGUACUACAGCGUGGGGAGCAAACAGGAUUAGAUA